rnacentral:rRNA from 1 species
AACGCUGGCGGCAUGCCUAAUACAUGCCAGUCGAACGAAGAUGGUAACAUCUUAGUGGCAAACGGGUGAGUAACACGUGGGAAUCUGCCCUUUGGUGGGGGAUAACUGAGGGAAACUUCAGCUAAUACCGCAUAGUCUUGGAAACAAGUAAAGAUUUAUUGCCAAAGGAUGAGCCCGCGUCAGAUUAGGUAGUUGGUAGGGUAAAGGCCUACCAAGCCGAUGAUCUGUAGCUGAUUUGAGAGGAUGAUCAGCCACACUGGGAUUGAGAUACGGCCCAGACUCCUACGGGAGGCAGCAGUAAGGAAUAUUGGACAAUGGGGGAAACCCUGAUCCAGCAAUGCCGCGUGAAUGAAGAAGGCCUUCGGGUUGUAAAGUUCUUUCGCUUACGAUGAUAAUGACAGUAGUAAGAUAAGAAGGUCCGGCUAACUCUGUGCCAGCAGCCGCGGUGAGACAGAGGGACCUAGCGUUGUUCGGAAUAACUGGGCGUAAAGGGUGCGUAGGUGGCUACUUAAGUAAAGUGUUAAAUCCUUGGGCUCAACCCAAGAACCGCAUUUUAAACUGGGUGGCUUGAGUGUGGGAAAGGAAAGUGGAAUUCCUAGUGUAGAGGUGGAAUUCGUAGAUAUUAGGAGGAACACCAGAGGCGAAGGCGGCUUUCUAGAACACAACUGACACUGAGGCACGAAAGCGUGGGGAGCAAACAGGAUUAGAUACCCUGGUAGUCCACGCCCUAAACGAUGAGUGCUAGACGUUGGGAUUUUAUUUCCAGUGUCGCAGCUAACGCGUUAAAGCACUCCGCCUGAGGAUUACGGUCGC